rnacentral:rRNA from 1 species
AUUGAACGCUGGCGGCAGGCCUAACACAUGCAAGUCGAACGAGUGGCGGACGGGUGAGUAAUGUCUGGGACAGUGCCUGAGGGAGGGGGAUAACUACUGGAAACGGUAGCUAAUACCGCACAGCAGCGGAUGUGCCUAGGUCGGAUUAUCUAGUAGGUGGGGUAAAGGCUCACCUAGGCGACGAUCCCUCGCUGGUCUGAGAGGAUGACCAGCCACACUGGAACUGAGACACGGUCCAGACUCCUACGGGAGGCAGCAGUGGGGAAUAUUGCACAAUGGGCGCAAGCCUGAUGCAGCCAUGCCGCGUGGAUGAAGAAGGCCUUCGGGUUGUAAAGUACUUUCAGCGGGGAGGCGUUACCCGCAGAAGAAGCACCGGCUAACUCCGUGCCAGCAGCCGCGGUAAUUC